AGGACGAACGCUGGCGGCGUGCCUAACACAUGCAAGUCGAACGGGAUCCGCAAGGAUUCAGUGGCGAACGGGUGCGUAACACGUGAAGAAUUUGUCCAACGGCGGGGGAUAGCCGGCCCAACGGCCGGGUAAUACCGCGUACGACCUUUGAGGGGCAUCCCUCGAUGGUGAAAGCCGCAAGGCGCCGAUGGAGAACUUCGCGGCCUAUCAGCUGGUUGGUGAGGUCAUGGCUCACCAAGGCGACGACGGGUAGCUGGUCCGAGAGGAUGACCAGCCACAUUGGGACUGAGACACGGCCCAGACUCCUACGGGAGGCAGCAGUGGGAAUAUUGCGCAAUGGCGAAAGCCUGACGCAGCACGCCGCGUGUGGGAUGACGGCCUUCGGGUGUAACCACUGUCGCGAGGACGAAGCUCGUGACGGUACCUCGAAAGGAAGCACCGGCUAACUCUGUGCCAGCAGCCGC
rnacentral:rRNA from 1 species